rnacentral:rRNA from 1 species
GAUGAACGCUGGCGGCGUGCUUAACACAUGCAAGUCGAGCGAGAAGUUUUGAAAAGAUUCUUCGGAUGAAAUUUAAAAUGGAAAGCGGCGGACGGGUGAGUAACGCGUAGGCAACCUGCCCCAUACAAAGGGAUAGCAUUUGGAAACGAAUAUUAAUACCUUAUGAAACUUAACUAGUGCAUGCUAGGUAGGUCAAAGAUUUAUCGGUAUGGGAUGGGCCUGCGUCUGAUUAGCUAGUUGGUGAGGUAACGGCUCACCAAGGCGACGAUCAGUAGCCGACCUGAGAGGGUGAACGGCCACAUUGGAACUGAGACACGGUCCAAACUCCUACGGGAGGCAGCAGUGGGGAAUAUUGCACAAUGGGGGAAACCCUGAUGCAGCAACGCCGCGUGAACGAUGAAGGCCUUUGGGUCGUAAAGUUCUGUUCUAGGUGAUGAAAACUGACAGUAACCUAGGAGAAAGCC